AUCCUCAUCCCUGGAAAAUGCUUUUCUCCAGGGCCCCCUGGGUCCCUUCCAGUGGCAGCGCCAAGUCUGCUGCGGAAGGGGGGUUUUCAAACGAUGACAGCACAAUGCCACGGCGCCACGACAGAGGCUCCCCUCGCUCUCUCGGGAGAAAUAACUGGAAGCAUGAGGACAGGCUUCGCCGCGGCAAGACGCGUUUGGGUUGAGCGUUAAAGAUGUCCGAAAUGGUUAGCGAAAGAAAGAGACAGAGGGCAUCUCAGAAGGGGAAACACUGUGCGAAGGUACAGGAUCAAGAAAGCAGGGCGAGUUAAGAAACCCUGAGCACUUUCCGUGUGGCGGGAGGGGAUGGGGCAGGUGAGAUGAGAAAGGUUGGCUGGUGCCGGCCCGGGAAGGCUUUGAACGCCGGUAUUUCCUCUGCUCAACCUGGGGCCAGCCUCCCCGUUCCUCGCUGCGGUCUCCGAGGAGAGAUCCGAGGAGAGAUCCGAGGAGGAGAACGAGGCCUUCCUCGCCGGUGUCCGGCCCUGGUCCCCACACGGGCGAGCCCGAAGCGCCCUGCACCUCCAAGCAGAAAGUCAGCGGACCGGCAGCCCGCUUCACAGCACAGCCUCGGGGUGGGCAGCGGUCGCGGCUUAUGUUCGAGCCAGCGACGUGCUGCCUGGGAAGCGGCGCUCGAACCCGAGCACCGGGCGGGCGCAGCGGGCCAGGAAGCCGCGGGGCGGGCGCCGAGCGGGCCGGGAAAGUUAACUUGGCACAAUCGGCGCAUCAAAGCGGCGCAGCUGCGGCUCGAGGAGCCCGCGCAGCUUUCUUCUCGCCGCUCUCUUCUCCCCGAUUAAUCAGCCGCUACAGCGCGGCGCUUUGAUCCCCGAAAUCAAACCCUCCGUCUGAUGGGUGACUUGAUGUUAUGCUAAUCCGAGCUGAUUGAGCUGAGAUAAUUACACUUCAUCCAGGUUUCCUGGGAGUUCCGAAUAAAUAUUGAUGCACAUCUGUCCCCCGCUCAGGUGUAGCGGGGAGCUUUGCGCUGGCAACAGUUUCGGCAGGCCCGGGAGCGCGCGCGCACUGCCGCCAGCCGCCCGCCUUCGCCAGUCUCCGCCCGCCUUCGCGGCGGAGCCCGGGUGCGGCGAGCCCGGCGGGAAGCCCAGAGCUUCGCUGCUCGGGGCCCUCGAGGCGCCCGGGGAGGUGGCGAAAACCUGGAGCUUUGCGGUUUAGGGGCCAGGUUUGAGUCUCAGCGCCCCUGUCUUGCCUGUGUGGUCUUGGACAUGUCACUUAACUGCUCUGAGCCCCAGAGCCUACCGGUUUCUCUAGAUUGCCGCGGAGAUGAAAUGAGAUGCGUGAGAAGCGGCUGAACUGCGCGAAGUCGCGCUCGGCCUUGCUGGGGGCCCUUCCCACCGAGAGUCGGGGACCUGAGGAGGCGCCCCAACCAGGGCAUCCUCCCCGUCACCUCUCGCGCGCCGAGGCUGCGCGCUCCAGACAGUAUAGAAAUGAAUAAUAAAGCAAGCGUUUCGGUGGCGCCGCUCCUCCCCGCGGGCCAAUUAGGUCGUGUUUGUAAAGCACUUCGAAGACAAAACGCGCCCCAAGUGUUAAUUAUCGUUAGCCCCGUCCCAACGCGCUUCCCGAACAGCGCGGGAAGCCCGGAGUGCCCCCUUGCCAGCCUGCGCUGCAGCGGCCGGGCGUGCGCGGAGACCCCCAGCGCGAGUCAGCCGCCGGUCCGCACCCCCACUCCUCCUGGCUCUGUAUCUCAUUCCCCGGCCUUCUGGAGAUCCGGACGCGAGGAUAGAGACGGGAGGGGUGGGGGGGGGGCGGGGGGGGGGUUGGGGGGAGAGGAGGAGCGAGGUACAAGACACAACUAACUGCAGGGAUGAUAACGGUAAGGCCCAGACCCGGGAAGGGUCUCCAUAUCACACAGCCACUUGGAAACAGAGCCCAACUCUAGUCUCCAGACUCCUCCUCCAGCGCUCCGUGAACACACUUUACUGCUCCCUUGGAAUAACCACAGUGAUACUUGGAAAAAUAAUCACGAAUGAUGGGCUGAGUUCAUUACUGUUUACAAAAUGCCACAAUACGCAUUAUUUCAAUGGGUCCGAAUGAGUCACUGAGGCUCAGAGGUAUGGGGAUUUGCCCUAGGUCACACCCUGGUUAGUGGCCACACUGGGGCAGGAGCCCAGAGCCCAGGGGUGCCGUCCCCAGAGGCUGUGCAGGGUCUUCCAGCCCACCCUCUUGGAGUGACUGGAGUCAUACUUCUUUAAAUGCAUGUGAUUCUUGCCUACACUGUUGUUCACGCUGCUUGCCUAAAAGUGAGCAUUUAUCCUCUAACAAGCAUUUUUGCCCAGAGAUGUUUCCUGGUGACUUCAGAAGCUGAUGGAUGGGGCUGAGCCCCUGGACCUCUUCCUCAGAAGCAUGGAAAGACAAGC
ensembl:lncRNA